rnacentral:lncRNA from 1 species
CUGAAUGCUUAUCAGGAAUAUUAAUAACAUUAAACGAAGUUGUUCUCUUCCCGUAAGAUUCAUUUAGGAUGCAUAUUGUCAAACUCAUAUUUGAGAUUACCAAGACUAAUUACUAGAAUCUUCUGAAUUUUAUAAUAGAAUAGGGAUUAUCUGAUAACAGAAAUAAACUGUAGAAAGUUGUAUUUAACCUUUGGAGAAGAGAUUUAGACAGUAAACUCUAAGAAUUAAACAUCCACAAGUACAAUAUACAUUAGCAAAAUCUCAUUCUAAAAUGGGAUACUACAACAAAGCUUCUGAAUGCUUUCAGCAAGCUUUUGACACAACAGUAGAGCUAAUGAGCAUGCCUCUGAUGGAUGAGACAAAAGUUCACUAUGGAAUAGCAAAAGCUCAUCAGAUGAUGCUUACAGUGAACAACUAUAUAGAGUCUGCAGAUCUCACCAGCCUCAACUACCUGCUGUCAUGGAAGGAGAGCAGAGGUAACAUU